AUGAAAACAAAAAGCAGAAAACAACAAAAAAAAUGAAACAAAUUAAAAUAAAAAUUUUAUUUAGAUUAAAUCAUUGCUCAGGCUCAUUGCAUAGGUUCAAAGGUGGGAUUCUUUAGGUAUUUAUGAUGGCCACUGGUCCUAGCUCCGAGCGCAAAAAUAUUCUCUAUUUACAGGGCAUUUGGUUUAUUGGAGAAGACAGCCAGACAGCCAAAGAGAGCUUGGAGACACGAUACAAAAUCGUGUACCAUUGAAAUUUAUAGGCGUUAAUAUUGUAUUUGGCCAGACAUAUUUCAGAAAAUUUUUAAGGGUAUAACUAUACCGUCAGCUAAUGAAGUCGAUCUUACGUAUCUUUAUGUUGCGCUUUUCUUUCAUUCGCUUACUUACGGGCUAACAGCAGCAUCUAGCUGCACUCGCGUUCUUUUCCCUCUCUCAAUUUAUUGCCAACGUCUUAAGCUUCGCUUUGACCUUCGCCAUUGGUCGUGAAUUAGUAUUCAACAGACAUCGAUUCGAGUCAUCAACCCUAGUCUUCAACUGCCCUGAAUCGAUCUGACCCUUGAACGAUUCGUCGCGGACUCAGACUUGAACAUCUAAAUAACCUCGGAUAUUUCUCUAUCGCUUGUCGGCUCCUGUACUGCGCUUCAUGCUAUGUAACAAACUUAAACUAACUGGACUUAAUAUUUAAACAUUCCGCAACAGAAAGCAUACUAUCUUAAUAGACAUCGUUGGUAGCAGAUAGGUACAAGAUAAUGUGGUUUAUGUUGCGCGAACUACGUGAAGCCAUUUAUCAGACGGCUGAAUGAAUUGUUGCCAGGCCCCAAAGAAUGCGCAGAGGCCCAGAUUCAAGGUAAAAUGUGGAGCCCAUUGCGGAUGCGAUAAGGAUAGCACAUCAUGUACAGUGUGUGCGUAGGGGCAUGAGCCGCGAUAGCCGGGUAUCUGACGUCAUAAAUAAACGAAGCCUUAUCAGUUGG